AAAAUGGGGACGUCGGGAGCAUUCUCUGGACAGCAGGAGAUGCAUGUCGACAGGCUGGCCCUGCCUCUUCCCACCCCAGAGUGAUGCAGCGGUGUCCUGGACCCCUGGGGAGAGGUGACCCCCCCAGCAGGAAGCUGGGCCUGGUUUCUGUCCCUCUGCAGCCACAAGGCCUGGCUAGGAUGCUGGGAGCACCACACCCUGGAGACUCAGCUCACCAAGGACUCAGGGGCGGGGGCUCCCCUGGCACCUGGGAAGCUGGGCCCCCGGCCCCCUGGACUCCCACCCAGACACCAUCUCAACCCAGGCACUUCCCCCGGGCCAGAGGGCAGCCUGGCAGCCCUGGACUCCGGGAGGGCCGAGUCUGGGGAGCUGGACGACGUCACAUUCCACUCUUGAUGAUGCCGCCCCAGUCCUACAAUCUGGACAGCAGGAGAAGCUGCCCAUUUCCUCCAUCUCCGGUCCCUGGAGGUUCCCCGGAUCCUUUCAGGGAAGACCAUGGGCCCUAAACGAUCUUCAUAACAAAACUGAGAAGUGGCCUGGCUUCUUCACUGCGUGCCUGUGUGCUGGGAUCUAGCGUGGCCCGACUGGGCAGCUCCUUUCCUUCCCUGACGCUGCUCCAGGGGAAAGAAGGACCAGGGUCAAUCCGGGGUGCCCCAGGUGGAUCAGCGAAUGCCCCUGAAGCCAGGUGCCAGUUGCAUCCCCGUCAGAUGCCCCCACCCCAGUCUCCUGAGCCUCAUUAGUCACCCCUCAUUUUCCUCUGGGGACCCCAGGCCCCAGCUCCUGUCUGGUUAGAGGCUGAAGGGGUCUGAGCGACACCUACCCUAGGGGACCUCCGGAGGGGUCUUGGUGUCCUCUGACUUCUGUCCUCAGAAGGGAGCUCAGAAUGCAGCUGAGGCUUCCCCUGGGGCCCAGGGUGUCUGUGUCCGAGCCACAGCCAGAGUGUGCCCUGGAGAGUCGCUGGGAUGCACGGUGGGCUCUCGUCAUCCUGUCCCCACUCCAGGCUCAGGCUGGAGCCGUGAUGGCACCGCUGCACUCCAACCUGGGCAACAGAGUGAGACCCUGUCUCUAUAAAAUAAAAACAAAAAUAAAGAAGAGCAUGUGGUUUCUGC